UAAUUUUAAACUGACGAAUUUCCCUGAAAUGAUGAACAGGUACAAGCAGCUGUUAAAUACAUCCGGAGUGCAGUUACACGAAACUACUCAGAGAAAUCCAUCAACUCCAUCUUGAUUACAUCUCUACGUCUAAGCAGAUGGACUUGCUGCAAGAGUUUU